CCUAGGGGUGGCAGCAGUGAGGAAUAUUGGUCAAUGGGCGCGAGCCUGAACCAGCGAAGUAGCGUGAAGGAUGACUGCCCUACGGGUUGUAAACGUCUUUUAUAAAGGAAUAAAGUGAGGCACGUGUGCCUUUUUGUAUGUACUUUAUGAAUAAGGAUCGGCUAACUCCGUGCCAGCAGCCGCGGUAAGACGGAGGAUCCGAGCGUUAUCCGGAUUUGUUGGGUUUAAAGGGAGCGUAGAGAGGUUGUUAAGUCAGGUGUGAAAUUUUGCGGCUCAACCGUAAAAUUGCAAUUGAUACUGGCAGUCUUGAGUACAGUUGAGGUAGGCGGAAUUCGUGGUGUAGCGGUGAAAUGCUUAGAUAUCACGAAGAACUCCGAUUGCGAAGGCAGCUUACUAAGCUGCCACUGACAUUGAGGCUCGAAAGUGUGGGUAGCAAACAGGAUUAGAUACCCCGGUAGUC
rnacentral:rRNA from 1 species